GCAAAUGAAGCACCACGAUUCCAGCUUAACCGCCGUUUCGUCGCUACCGGCGUUCAUCUCCACUGUCGUCUUUACCGACGAUAGCAUCUGCUGUCGCUGAUUUAACCAUCACCGACCCAACAUCUCAACUUUUCACCGGAGCAUGUCAAAAACCCAGAAAUCGUCGACUAUUUCUAGAUCCUCUCAUUUCCGAUGAUAGAUUGACGUUAAUUCAUCCUCACCGCUGACUGAUUCCGCUGCUAUCUUAACCGAUGCAGCUCAGCUCUACAAUCCCAGGUAAAUUCCGAAACUCCCAUAGCCAUCUCUUUACCAAGAUGUUAUUUCAGUUUCUGUUGCUGUGAUUUGCAAUUACUUCUGAAAUCUUACUGUCUUCCUUUUCAUCUGCAGCUGCUGAAGACACUUUUGAUUUCAAAACUAAGCAUCGUGAAUUUCAGGUAAAACCCCAAAUUCCUUUGACGCUUCCAAACUUUCAAAUUUGACCACCUGAAAAUUUUGCCAUUUGAGAAGAUCAACCCGUAAUGAAACACUUCUUCUCUGUUACCCUGAAAUGAUGACUUUUACCAAUCUCAUCUCACAUUUUUCAAACUUUACCAUCUGAAAAAAACUUUGUCGAUUUCUUAUGUUACCAAUACUGAAAUUUUUUUUUUUUUUUUCUCAAUAUCUUCUGUCUUUGUGAGAUGCUCAAAUCGACAAGAGCAAUCUCAAGACGCUGUUGGAAACAACUACGGAAUUACAUUGAGAAGCACCAGGAACUUCUCAAACGUGUUUCCAGGUAAGCACUUUGUGAGCAUGUCUGCUGGAUUAGCUGUAGUGUGAACCUUUAGGAUCUUGACUGAACCUUCAUCAACUAUAUCUCUGAUAAAAUGAUAUUUGGUAUCAACAUGCUUUGUUCUGUCAUGGUGCACACUGUUCUUUGCUAAACAUAUAGCACUUUGUGAAUCACAAUUGAGUUUAAAACUGUCCUCUUUAAAACCCAAUUCACCACACAAUCCCUUAAGCCACAGACCUUCCUUAGUAGCCUCAGAUAGAGACAUAUAUUCUGCUUCCGUAGUAGAUAAAGCAACUACUUGUUGUAGACAUGAUCUCCAACUGACCGUAUUGCCACCAACUUUGAAAACAUAGCCUGAAACUGACCUUCUCCUGUCUAAGUCUGUAGCAUAAUCUGAAUCACAAAACCCUUCAAUCUCAAAUUUCUCUGAUUUUGUGAAAGUAAGACAUACUCCUGUAGCUCCUUUUAAAAUACCUCAAAAUCCACUUAACCGCAGCCCAAUGAGAUCUUCCUGGAAUUCGCCAUGAAUCUGCUAACCAAUCCAAUGGCAAAGGCUAGAUCAGGUCUUGAACCGAUCAUAGCAUACAUCAGACUCCCCACUGCACUUGCAUAGGGAACUGAAUCCAUCAAUCUACUCUCUGUUUUUACCUCCUGCUCUGUUAGACUCUUAAGCUUAAACUGCGAAUUACUUGGAGUUACAACAGCCUUGCAAUCCUCCAUGUUAAAAGUUCUUAAAACCUGCUUAAGAUAUCUUUCCUGUGAUAACUUGAGAGUACCUUUCUUUCUGUCCCUGAUGAUAUCCAUACCAAGAAUUCUAGUCGCUGGUCCUAGAUCCUUCAUCUCGAACUUUUUACUUAAGCUUGCCUUCAAGGCUUUGAUCUUUUCCAUAUUCUUUGCUGCCACAAGCAUGUCAUCGACAUAUAGUAAGAGAUAAACCAUAUCAUCAAUACAUGAUCCCUUAGUGUAAACACAUGGAUCCCUAGCGCUCCUUUGAAACUCCAUUGACUUCAUGAAUUCAUCAAACUUCUGAUUCCAUUGUCUAGGUGACUGUUUCAAACCAUAUAGAGAUUUCUUAAGAAGACAGACCUUGUCUUCGUUUCCCUUCUCUAUAAAACCCUCUGGCUGACUCAUGUAAAUGACUUCAUCAAGUGUACCAUGUAAGAAAGCAGUUUUCACGUCUAGUUGCUCCAAUUCCAUAUCAAAAUUAACCACAACUGACAACAUGAUUCUAAUAGAAACAUGCUUAACCACCGGAGCAAAUAUUUCAUUGUAAUCCACUCCUUCAACCUGUGUAAAUCCCUUAGCUACAAGUCUUGCUUUGUAUCUAGGUUCUUCAACACCUGGAAUGCCCUCCUUGUACUUGAAGAUCCACUUACACCCAACUAUUUUCUGCUUUCUCGGCUUAGAGACAAUCUCAAAAGUUUCAUUUUUAUCCAGAGAUUGUUUUUCCUCUUCCAUAGCCUGCUUCCACUUCUUCCAGUCUUUACUUCGUCUAGCUUCUGCGACUGACCUUGGUUCAUUUAACUCUAUGCUUUCAGCGCUAGUUAAAGCAUAAGCUAAAUAAUCAGCAUCCUCAAACCUCGAUGGUGGUUUGAUAGUUCUUCGCUCUCUGUCUCUUGCCAGCAAAUAAUCAUCAAGAGACUCUUCUUCAUCCUGAUUUUCUUGUUCUUCCUCAGAUUCCUGCUCCUCUUCUGAUUCUGAAUGUUCCGAAGUAGCUCCACCUUGACCAGCAGAAUCUGUAUUUCCUGAAACCUCUCCACCUUGACCAGUGGACUCUUGAACCAAACCAUUUGGUGUAGGUCCUUGGAUCAAUCCAGCUUUGAAAGUAACUUUCUUCUUCUUUGUAGAUUUUGUUACUUCAUUCUGAUCUCGGUCCUUAUACAACUUUUCCUCAUCAAAGACUACAUUCCUGCUGUUAGUACAUUUUCCAUCCUCCGGAAUCCAAACCCUGUAACCUUUAGUACCCUGUGGAUAUCCUAAGAAAAUCCCUUUAACAGCUCUUGGACUCAUCUUGUCUUGUAUUACAUGAACAUAUGCAACACAACCAAAUCGUCUGAGAUGACUGUAAUCAACCUUUGAUCCUGACCAAACCUCUUCAGGAAUCUUGAACUUCAGCGAUGCAUUUGGUGAUCUGUUUAUGAGAUAAACUGCAGUAGAAGCUGCCUCAGCCCAAAAUUUCUUUUCCAUUCCUGUUUCUGCUAACAUACACCUGAUCUUCUCAGCUAUUGUCCGAUUCAUCCUCUCAGAUACUCCAUUUUGCUGUGGAGUAUAAGUGCAAGUUCGAUGUCUUUUAAUCCCUGAAUCCUGACAUAGCUUAUCCAUCUGAUUGUUGCAGAACUCUAAUCCAUUAUCAGUUCGCAGACACUUUAUCUUCUUACUCUUCUGAUUUUCCACUAGUGCUUUCCACUCUGAAAAAUUUUCAAACACUUCGUCCUUACUCCUUAGGAAUCUGAUCCAAACCUUCCUUGAGUAAUCAUCAAUGAAAGUAAGAAAGUAUCUACACCCUGUCAUGCUUGGCUCGUUUGACACUGAGCCCCAAAGAUCACUGUGAAUGUAUUCCAAAAUACACGUAGUAGUGUGUUGGCCAACUGGAAAACUCUGCUUGUGAGACUUACCAAACACACACUUUUCACAGAAAUCUAAAGUGUGGACUUCCUUUGAGUCUAGAUAACCUCCUUUGACCAGAAGAUUCAUGUUCUUAAGACUCAUAUGUCAUAGCCUUGAAUGCCAUCUGUUCGUUAGAUUUACCUCCGUCCUGACCACAGAUGCUUCUCCUCUCACAACUGUUCCCUGCAAAUAGUACAGCCCGUUCUCAUAUUUUCCUGAAAUCACUUUCUGGCCCUUCUUGUAGAAAGUAACUAUGAAGUCCUUCCCUUCAUACUUGCACCCGUUCUUCUCUAGCUGGCCAUAAGAGAUGAGAUUUUUGCUCAUGGUUGGCAUGUAUCUCACAUCAGUUAAUAUCACGGUAGCUCCUUCUGAGUUUAUGAUCUUGAUUUUCCCAAUGCCUUUGACUUCGCUGUGAGUGUUGUUACCCAUCAUCACCUUUCCGCCAUCAACUUCUUUGAAGUCAUACAAGACAUCUCUAUCAGGUGUAAUGUGGAAAGUACACCCAGAAUCCAUGACCCAUUCAUCCAUAGUGUCUUGGACGCUUGCUGUUAAGAUCAUAGGUUCCUCUCUUUCAUGUACUACAUUUGCAGAAUCUUGUUUCCCAUACUUUCUUUCAGGGCACUCUUUCUUGUAGUGUCCUUCUUUCCCACAUAUCCAACAUUCUCUAGCUUUUGGUUGAUUCUUUGGUCUAGACUUCGACCUUGAAUAUCUGCUCUUGGAUCUACCUUUACUCUGACCUGUAGUCCUCUUUUCAGACCUCCCUCUACGCAACCAAAGCAUCUGCACUUGAAUUUGAUUUUCCUAGAAGUCCACACUCUUUUAGCUCGAUUUCCUUGGCAUAUGCUGAAGCGGUAACUUCAUUCAUAGUAAGUGUCUCUUUCCCGUUGCCGUAUUUGAGAGUAUGAACUAGUGAAUCAAACUGCUUAGGUAAGCUAGACAACACCUGAAUUGCCUGAUCUUCAUCACUUAUAGUUAUACUCAAGCUCUCCAAAUCGUCCACAGUCUAAGAAACACGUCAAGAAUUCUCCUCUAUAGCUUUUGUGCUCUUCCAUNNNNNNNNNNNNNNNNNNNNNNNNNNNNNNNNNNNNNNNNNNNNNNNNNNNNNNNNNNNNNNNNNNNNNNNNNNNNNNNNNNNNNNNNNNNNNNNNNNNNNNNNNNNNNNNNNNNNNNNNNNNNNNNNNNNNNNNNNNNNNNNNNNNNNNNNNNNNNNNNNNNNNNNNNNNNNNNNNNNNNNNNNNNNNNNNNNNNNNNNNNNNNNNNNNNNNNNNNNNNNNNNNNNNNNNNNNNNNNNNNNNGUCUUUGUCUGGUAAUCCUUUUCUAGAGCUUUCCACACACCUAGAGCUGUUGUUUGCUUCAUAACCUUCCGCAAGACCAGAUUACUAAGGCUGGAACAUAUCAAGUUCUUUGCCUUUUUGUCUAUCUCCUUCUUCUUUGGAUCAACCGGAGAUGGAGUUGCCUUAGCAUCUGUCUCAUCUUCUUUUCCUUUUCCUUUGUCAGAUGCUGCGCUAGUUUCUUCCUCACUAAUUGCAGAAUCUAACCCUAGAUUUUCAAGAGCCAUAAGCAUCUUGAAUUUCCACAUACCGAAGUCUCCUUUACCAUCAAACUUCUCCACCUUAAUUUUACCAAAAGAUGGUUCCAUGAUUCAGACUUUGUAGAUGUUAUCACUUGAUUGAAUAACUUGGACUUUCCCGAAACAACACCAAUCGCAGAUCAGAAACUGAAACUGUAUCCUCCGCUUAAACCUGGUGCUCUGAUACCACUUGUGAGGUUUUAAUAUUGAUUUCAACCUCUAGUCUUAGCUCUUAACCUGAACUACUUAGAUCAAUUAACCUUGACACUUAGUUUGUUUGUUGUUUUCAAGCAAGACACAAGAAAAUUUGGUAACCCAGUUCCCUUUCGGUACGUCUGGGGAGAGACGGUACUCUUAACGGUCCACUAUAAUCGAUCAAGUGUUAACAAUAAUGAGUUUGUUCCUUCACCGUUUAAACUCACGUAUCUCUCUUCUUUCCUUUGUUUCAGGUACCACAAAGAAGAAAGACCAGAAAC
rnacentral:lncRNA from 1 species